CCUACGGGAGGCAGCAGUGGGGGAUAUUGCACAAUGGGGGCAACCCUGAUGCAGCGACGCCGCGUGAGCGAUGGAGUACUUCGGUAUGUAAAGCUCUGUCAGCAGGGAAGAGAAUGACGGUACCUGACCAAGAAGCCCCGGCUAAAUACGUGCCAGAGCCGCGGUAAUACGUAUGGGGCAAGCGUUAUCCGGAUUCACUGGGUGUAAAGGGAGCGUAGACGGCCAUGCAAGCCUGGAGUGAAAGCCCGGGGCCCAACCCCGGGACUGCUCUGGGAACUGUGCGGCUGGAGUGCGGGAGGGGCAGG
rnacentral:rRNA from 1 species